rnacentral:lncRNA from 1 species
CAGGGCCUUCCCCAGCCGCCUCUCGCCUCCGCCCUCCCCUCACGCCCGGCCGGGCCGCGCAGGCCUCCCUGGGUGCUCCCCGCGCCGCCCGCGCCGCUCCGAUCCCACCUCCUCAACGCUGCGGCCCGGCCAGGCCGCGCUCCCCCGUCCCCAGCCGGCACCGCUCGGCAGGCGAGCCCGGCGCCGGGCAGGCCGCGGUCGCUCGACUCGGUGCAGCGAGGCCGCCUCCUCAUUACCGUCCGUCGGGGCGCUCGGGCCCGGCUGGGCCAUGGCUCCGGCGGGCGGGCGGCGCCGCCGCGGCCUCCUCCGCCUCCAGCCGCGGCGUCGGAGCGGGAACCGCUACGCCAGGGGGCCCCGGCGAGAGACGGGAGCUGCCGGCCCGGGCCUCCGCCUCCUCCGCCUCAUCCUGACAGCGGCCGCCGGCGGCGGGAGGAGGAGGAGGAGGAGCACCGCGCAGGCGCCCACGGUGAAGCCCAAAGGAAUAGAAGCCGCUCACUUCUUUAUGGAAGGACUCAGCUGCUCACAACAGCAAGCCAUUGGCUUAUUCAACAGAACACAUCUUCUGAAGAUAUUUGAAUACGAUAGCCAAGAAGACUGAGCAGUCUUUGAAGAAACAGAGGACCAUGCAGCUGAAGAGAUGCAAUAGGUUUUCAGAGAACUGAAUCCUUGCACAUCCUUCAGCUGAAUAAGCCCACCCUUCUGAAGUGUUUGGUCCAGGCUUUGUACAUCAAACAACCUUCAGUGAAGUUAUUCUUGCCUCAUACAAGUGGUAAGAGGAAAGAGAAGCAAGUUAUUCAUAUUUAAUGCUAUUUUGUGCCAGAUGUUUUGCUGGUAGAAAUCCAUAGCUCCACAGGCACCAAUUUCUUCAGGAUCUGGAAUGUCUGGCCCAAUUUCUUUCUCACUGUGGAUGGUCUGUGAAAGAAACCACUUUAUUUUGCAAUAUUGAAUAUUCUUGCCGGGAAGUUAUAAACAAAAACAAAAUAAUGAGAGACAGGGUCUCUAAUAAGCUUCCUGUCGCAUGAGGCUCUGGUUCUAUUGAAGCAUAUGUGUUUGCUGACUUGCUUCCAAAAGGUUUGUUGAGUGGUGGUGAUUAGUUUCUGUUGUACUGAUAUUAUCUCUCUGUAGUCUCAUUCAAUACAAGUAGUUCUGUAAACAGUGAAGUCUUUUUUUCCUACGGGUUUGUACCUUGGAUUGUGUUUCAGCAUGGAUUCUCUGAUGUUUAAUGGGGAUUGAGUUCAUGUUCAGCCAAUUUCUUCAAUGAGGGAUGAAUAAUCUGUCUUUUUGGCCAUCUAUUUCCACAAAAUUUGCUGGAAUUAAAUAUCUUCAACGCCCUCUAUCAAAGUUGACUGGGAUUUAUGAACAAGUUUUGGAGUUAUUUGGGGCUGUCCAAUGUAGAUAAAAGAGAGUCUCAUUUUCUUACAAAAACAGAAUGUAAAAAUGCAUUUUUAAAGUGUUUUGUCUGAUUCUGUUCUAUUUGUGACCAGUCAUAUAGGAUGUGUUUUAUUUGUAAAGCUGUAUAAAAGUAUGAUGUGGGUUUUUUUGCCCUGUUGAGUGCAUAUUAAAGCAUCUUUAGUUUAUUCUUGUUAUGGGCCAGCUGAGAUUGCUUUUUUUUUUGGUCCUUGUUGGAACAUGGGAAAAGGUUUACACAGGUGAGUGCAGAGAAAGGACACAUGGUUGCUCAUUUAGUACCAGAGAUCUCUGCUUCUGGUUUGGAAAGGAAGAAAGGAAACACAGAAUUGAAUAUAACCUUUUAGCUUGCUGAGUCCAGUUUUGUGCUUCUGCAGGGAGCUAAGUUCUCAAUCCUUCUCACAAGCAGACAGUGCUAUUCAAAAAUGUACUCUUUCCUCCUUGUUGUGUCUCCUAUCUUCCUAGUUA